CUUACGGGGGGCUGCAGUGGGGAAUAUUGGACAAUGGGGGGAACCCUGAUCCAGCCAUGCCGCGUGUGUGAAGAAGGCCCUCGGGUUGUAAAGCACUUUCAGUGAGGAAGAACGCCUGGUGGUUAAUACCCAUCAGGAAAGACAUCACUCACAGAAGAAGCACCGGCUAACUCCGUGCCAGCAGCCGCGGUAAUACGGAGGGUGCGAGCGUUAAUCGGAAUUACUGGGCGUAAAGCGCGCGUAGGUGGCUUGAUAAGCCGGUUGUGAAAGCCCCGGGCUCAACCUGGGAACGGCAUCCGGAACUGUCAAGCUAGAGUGCAGGAGAGGAAGGUAGAAUUCCCGGUGUAGCGGUGAAAUGCGUAGAGAUCGGGAGGAAUACCAGUGGCGAAGGCGGCCUUCUGGACUGACACUGACACUGAGGUGCGAAAGCGUGGGUAGCAAACAGGAUUAGAUACCCGUGUAGUC
rnacentral:rRNA from 1 species